rnacentral:rRNA from 1 species
CUCUUGGACAGCCUUCUGGAAAGGGAGAUUAAUACAAGAUGUUAUCAUGAGUAAGCAUUUUCGCAUGAUUAAAGGUUUACCGGUGUAAGAUGGGGAUGCGUUCCAUUAGAUAGUAGGCGGGGUAACGGCCCACCUAGUCUUCGAUGGAUAGGGGUUCUGAGAGGAAGGUCCCCCACAUUGGAACUGAGACACGGUCCAAACUCCUACGGGAGGCAGCAGUGAGGAAUAUUGGUCAAUGGGCGAGAGCCUGAACCAGCCAAGUAGCGUGAAGGAUGACUGCCCUAUGGGUUGUAAACUUCUUUUAUAAAGGAAUAAAGUCGGGUAUGGAUACCCGUUUGCAUGUACUUUAUGAAUAAGGAUCGGCUAACUCCGUGCCAGCAGCCGUGGUAAUACGGAGGAUCCGAGCGUUAUCCGGAUUUAUUGGGUUUAAAGGGAGCGUAGAUGGAUGUUUAAGUCAGUUGUGAAAGUUUGCGGCUCAACCGUAAAAUUGCAGUUGAUACUGGAUAUCUUGAGUGCAGUUGAGGCAGGCGGAAUUCGUGGUGUAGCGGUGAAAUGCUUAGAUAUCAAGAAGAACUCCGAUUGCGAAGGCAGCCUGCUAAGCUGCAACUGACAUUGAGGCUCGAAAGUGUGGGUAUCAAAAAGGAUUAGAUACCCUGGUAGUCCACACGGUAAACCCUUAAAAGGCGCUGUUUGCGGAUAUACGGCAAGGCGGGCCAAGCGAAAGCGUUAAGUAUUUCCACCUGGGGGAGUACGCCGGCAACGGUGAAACUCAAAAGGAAUUGACGGGGGCCCCGCACAAGCGGAGGAACAUGUGGUUUAAUUCGAUGAUACGCGAGGAACCUUACCCGGGCUUAAAUUGCAACCGAAUAUGGCGGAAAACGCUAUAGCUAGCAAUAGCGGUUGUGAAGGUGCUGCAUGGUUGUCGUCAGCUCGUGCCGUGAGGUGUCGGCUUAAGUGCCAUAACGAGCGCAACCCUUGUUGUCAGUUACUAACAGGUUCCGCUGAGGACUCUGACAAGACUGCCAUCGUAAGAUGUGAGGAAGGUGGGGAUGACGUCAAAUCAGCACGGCCCUUACGUCCGGGGCUACACACGUGUUACAAUGGGGGGUACAGAGGGCCGCUACCACGCGAGUGGAUGCCAAUCCCCAAAACCUCUCUCAGUUCGGACUGGAGUCUGCAACCCGACUCCACGAAGCUGGAUUCGCUAGUAAUCGCGCAUCAGCCACGGCGCGGUGAAUACGUUCCCGGGCCUUGUACUCACCGCCCGUCAAG